UAUCCGGAUUUACUGGGCGUAAAGCGUCUGCAGNCGGACAGGUAAGUUGGGCGUGAAAGCUCCGGGCCCAACCCGGAGAGGUCGUUCAAUACUGCGUGUCUAGAGGUGUACAGAGGGGAGUGGAAUUUCCGGAGUAGCGGUAAAAUGCGCAGAGAUCGGAAAGAACACCAAUGGCGAAGGCAGCUCCCUGGGGCAACCCUGACGCUAAGAGACGAAAGCUAGGGGAGCGAACAGGAUUAGAGACCCUGGUAGUCCUAGCCCUAAACGAUGGAUGCUGGAUGUGGGGCCAUAGCGCUCCGUGUCGAAGCGAACGCGUUAAGCAUCCCGCCUGGGGACUACGGCCGCAAGGUUAAAACUCAAACGAAUUGACGGGACCCCGCACAAGCAGCGGAGCGUGUGGUUUAAUUCGAUGCUACACGAAGAACCUUACCUGGGUUUGACAUCUAGGUGGUAGUGAAGCGAAAGCGGAGCGACCCUUCGGGGAGCCUAGACAGGUGCUGCAUGGCUGUCGUCAGCUCGUGCCGUGAGGUGUCGGGUUAAGUCCCGUAACGAGCGCAACCCUUGCCCUCCGUUAUACGUGUCAGAGGGGACUGCCGGCGGUAAGCCGGAGGAAGGUGGGGAUGACGUCAAGUCAGCAUGGCCUUUAUAUCCAGGGCUACACACACGCUACAAUGGCCAGUACAAAGGGCAGCGAAGCCGCGAGGUGGAGCGAAUCCCAGCAAAGCUGGUCGUAGUUCGGAUUGCAGGCUGCAACCCGCCUGCAUGAAGCUGGAGUUGCUAGUAACCGCGCGUCAGCCAUAGUGCGGUGAAUACGUUCCCGGGGUUUGUACACACCGCCCGUCACGUCAUGGGAGUCGAUUACGCCUGAAGCCGGUGUCCUAGCUCGGAAGAGAGAGCGCUGUCUAAGGCGGGGUCGGUGACUGGGACGAAGUCGUAGCAAG
rnacentral:rRNA from 1 species